ensembl:lncRNA
CAAUGCAUUAUUAUAACAAAUAAAACUACUGAAUCUAAGCAACUAUGCAAUAAGUUUACAAAAUUUUGCGCAUUUUUAUUAUUUUUUUUAAAUCAAGGGUGAAGAUGUCAAAUUUCCCAGGCCGGACAUCACUUUUGCCCACUACUAAAUGUCAGUUCAUUGACUUUCCAUCUGACCAUCAAACCAUGCUGAAAAAACAAGCCAAUUUCAUGAAGACUGUGGGCUUUUCUGGAGUUGUUGGAGCUGUUAAUGGAACUCAUGUUCACAUCAUUGCUCCAACUAGGAAGAUCAGGAGGAGUAUGAUGAUGUGAAGAACAGAAAUGAAGAUGAGAGAAACCUAGGUAGGUUAUUGUCACCUUAUCCUUUAUAACUAUAUGCUUAUAAUGUUUACAUUUCUAAUUUAAACUAAAUCUAGAUGAAAUUAUAAAUUUCAUUGCAAAUUAAAUAUGUGAAUUUGCUUUUGUUUUUAAAAACAGACUAUGAUGAUGUGGGGGAGGAGUCAAACAAAGAAGGAAGGGCCAUAUGACCCAAUGACCACACCCACUAUUUCUGUUCAUGAAAUCAUAUUACAGUUACCGGAGCUACUGGGACUUUCUUAUAUUGCUACUAAUGCAUCAAUGUGUUUUUAUGUUAUUUCAUUUUUUAUGCUUUGCAAAAUUUGGUAACAACGAAUGUUAGUAUUUGUGCAUUUCAUUAAAAUGCUUUAAAUGACUUCGAACUGUUUUAAGUCUUGUUUUGUGGCUGAUUAUUUGCUUUGAGCUUGAAUCUUUUGCAGAAAUAGCUCCAUCUGCAGUUUAAGGUUGGGAUGAUCCUUUCCAGCUUUUUUCUUUUCAGACACGGUUAUGUGCCUUUUUUUUAUUAUUUCUUCAGAGCCUCCACCUGCUGAGCUGAGGGCCGAGGGUUUUCCUUACAAUGACAUUACAUAGGGGAUAUAUUAAGAAAUACGAAACCAUUUCUCACACAAACACACACACACACAUUUGUUUCAGUGUAUUAGUCAGGACAUCUCAUAAACUUAAAUUGUUUUGAUGACAGCUGAAAAAUAUUUUCUAUUGUAUAACCCGACCCUCUUACCCCUAACAAUAACCAUCACAGAAACUACCCACUACUCAAAUACUGAAGCCUUAUUUGUGCAGAAAGGGAGUGGGAAACAGCCUAUAUAAGCAGCGCGGAGUGGCAUGUAAUCAGAAUAUUUCUCCUUCAUUAUAAUCAGACAUAUACACAAGUCUCUGACGUCCAAGUCAAGUAUCAAGUCUUUGUUCUAUUUAUUAGCAACAGUUCUUUCAGAUAGUUAUUGAUGCUAAAUUGGUUUUGUAAUACUGAUUUCACAAUGUGAUUUUCUCAAAAUAUACUUUAACAAAAUGUAAGACAAAUUAGAAAUGAAAAGGUGUCCAUUAUUAAUUGUCAGACAAAAUGCUGCACAUUUCUUUGUAAAAUCCAACAACAAAACUAAACAAAAUGUCCAACAACAAAACUAAACUGAAAUUUUAAAACAAACCCCAAUCAAUCAAAUGAAUAACACAAAUUAAAUAAAUCUCAUAUAAACAAACUAAGGCUUUGUGCU